AAAAACUUAGUUAAUUCAUAACAUUAGCUUGUCGGGCUAAAAUCACUUUAGAGUAGUUUUUA
rnacentral:tRNA from 1 species